rnacentral:rRNA from 1 species
CGGCAUACGGCUCAGUAACACGCGGAUAACCUACCCUUGGGCGGGGGAUAACCUCGGGAAACUGAGGAUAAUACCCCAUAGGUCUGGUAUGCUGGAACGCUUCCAGGUCGAAAGCCCCGGCGCCCAAGGAUGGGUCUGCGGCCUAUCAGGUUGUAGUGGGUGUAAGGGACCCACUAGCCUUCGACGGGUACGGGCUGUGAGAGCAGUAGCCCGGAGAUGGACUCUGAGACACGAGUCCAGGCCCUACGGGGCGCAGCAGGCGCGAAACCUUCGCAAUGCGCGAAAGCGCGACGAGGGAACCCCAAGUGCCUAUGCAUUGCAUAGGCUUUUCAUAUGCCUAAAAAGCAUGUGGAAUAAGGGCUGGGUAAGACGGGUGCCAGCCGCCGCGGUAAUACCCGCAGCUCGAGUGGUGAUCGCUAUUAUUGAGCCUAAAGCGUCCGUAGCCGGUUUCGUAAAUCCUUGGGUAAAUCGGGCAGCUUAACUGUCCGAAUUCCGGGGACACUGCGAGGCUUGGGACCGGGAGAGGUCGGAGGUACUCUAGGGGUAGGGG